rnacentral:rRNA from 1 species
AUUGAACGCUGGCGGAAUGCUUUACACAUGCAAGUCGAGCGGCAGCGCGGCCUUCGGGCUGGCGGCGAGCGGCGAACGGGUGAGUAAUGCAUCGGAACGUGCCCAGUCGUGGGGGAUAACACUUCGAAAGAAGUGCUAAUACCGCAUACGUCCUGAGGGGGAAAGCGGGGGAUCGCAAGACCUCGCGCGAUUGGAGUGGCCGAUGUCAGAUUAGCUAGUUGGUGGGGUAAAGGCCUACCAAGGCGACGAUCUGUAGCUGGUCUGAGAGGAUGAUCGGCCACACUGGGACUGAGACACGGCCCAGACUCCUACGGGAGGCAGCAGUGGGGAAUUUUGGACAAUGGGGGCAACCCUGAUCCAGCCAUUCCGCGUGAGUGAAGAAGGCCUUCGGGUUGUAAAGCUCUUUCGGCAGGAACGAAACGGUGGGCUCUAACAUAGUCCGCUACUGACGGUACCUGAAGAAGAAGCACGGGCUAACUACGUG